AACGCACAUUGCGCCCGCCAGUAUUCUGGCGGGCAUGCCUGUCCGAGCGUCAUUUCAACCCUCAAGCCCGGCUUGGUGUUGGGGACCGGCCCCGGGUGCCUUCGGGCCCCGGGCGCCGCCCCCCAAAUGAAGUGGCGGCCUCGCCGCAGCCUCCUCUGCGUAGUAGCACACCUCGCAACGGGAGCGCGGCGCGGCCACGCCGUAAAACCCCCCAACUUCUCAGAGUUGACCUCGGAUCAGGUAGGAAUACCCGCUGAACUUAA
rnacentral:misc_RNA from 1 species